rnacentral:lncRNA from 1 species
CCUGUAUAAACAGGUAAAUAAACCAUGCAAAAAUAAGAUUUAUUUUUGCUUUAUUAUUUAUGUUAAAAUCCUGAUUUUCUAUUAUUAAUCCAAAUAAUCCAAAUCCUAACAUCUUAACCUAACCCUACUAUUUUCUGGGUUCAUAAGCCAUCACUGGCAUACAUAUUUGCAUAAUAUAGUAAUAAAAAAAUCAUUGGCAAAAGUCUAGAUUACCUGUCCUCCCCCUGGUGACCAGUGCACACGAUGCCUCGCCCGGCUUCUGACGAUAACUGGUCACGACCCUUAACAUCCUCAUGCCAGCCACACACAGACAUCCCCGCCCUGCAACAUUAACAGACAUCACCAUCUACCCAUAAAUCUGUAUCUCUCGCUGUGUAUCUUGUACGAUGCCAAUGCCAGCCGUUGUCUUUAAUCCAGAAAAAAAUUGCCGUCCAUACCACGCCUCGAACCUAUGUUCGGCAGCAUACUGUCACGUCUCCUACACCACUACACUACCACACACUAUCGGCGACAUGCUUAAAACACACAUUUCAACACCCCACUGUCUUUUCACGCUAUCAAUACUAUUUUACAUAAAUCAACGACGCAAAUAUUUCUAUCAGAUAGGUGCACAGAAAAUGUCUAAACACGUCCACAAUAUGCAACCUCAUUUCUAAGAUUAUAGAGCGAACAACCUGAAACACAAAGACAUUUCCUAAACAGUUCAGAGGGAAAAAAUACAUACGAAAAAACAUUUCCACAAAAAUUAAUGUGGCCAGUACAUCAAAUAACAAAUAUACAAAUGACACACCUAAUAUACAUAUAUACAAUAAACACCUAAGAUACAACACCAAGCACAAUAACACAAUCCAUUCCCAUAGAUUCGUGUAUAAAACAGACAAAACAAUUCAAACAUAGAAUACGAUACACACAUAACAUACAACGCUAAACAUAAUAACAUGAUCUAUUUCCCUACAUUCGUGGAUCAAACGGACCACACAAUUCAUACACAGAAUACAAUACACACCUAAACAGAACACACACGUAUCAUACAAUGCAAACUGUACUAACAUGCACCAUUUUCCUAGAUUCGUGGAUCAAACAAACAAAUUAAUUCAUACACAGAUUACAAUACACACCUAAAUACAUUACACACCGAACAUACAACACCAAACAUACUGGCAUACACCAUUUCCCUAUAUUCGUGAACCAAACGGACCCACCAAUUCAUACACAAAAUACAAUACACAUCUAUGCACAAUACACAUGUAACACACAACGCCACACGUACGUGUUCCAUUUCCCUAGCUUCAUUGACCAAAGAGACACAACACUUCAUACUAGUAAUACAGAAUUCCGAAACAAAUCCUUACGUAUAUUUAAUCUUUCAAGGAAACUUUCUCUACCUAUGUAAGUAGCUUGAUAAAUUAACUUUUAGUAUUAAAAACAAAUACAGUUGUCGUGGCUAAAAAACAUCAGAAAAACCAUAACACAACCACCACAUCUUAGAAUACAAUUGAUAUCGCGUUGCGUCGCACCGCACUAGGAGGACAGGUAAUCUAGACUUCUGCCAAAUCAUUCUUUUUUCGUUUUUUUCUUAAUUGCCUAAACAUCUUGUAUUUAAAAAUAGAUAUUAAUUAAUAUAAUUAUAAAUAUAAAUUUCUAUAUUAUUCUAAUAAUUCUUCUUUCUAAUAUUCUUCUA